rnacentral:rRNA from 1 species
CUACGGGACGCUCCAGUGAGGAAUAUUGCACAAUGGGGGGAACCCUGAUGCAGCAACGCCGCGUGGAGGAUGACGCAUUUCGGUGUGUAAACUCCUUUUAUAUGUCAAGAAAAUGACGGUAGCAUAUGAAUAAGCACCGGCUAACUCCGUGCCAGCAGCCGCGGUAAUACGGAGGGUGCAAGCGUUACUCGGAAUCACUGGGCGUAAAGGACGCGUAGGCGGGCUUGUAAGUCAGGUGUGAAAUCCUACAGCUUAACUGUAGAACUGCACUUGAAACUUCUAAUCUAGAGUAUGGGAGGGGGAUAUGGAAUUAGUGGUGUAGGGGUAAAAGCCGUAGAUAUCACUAGGAAUACCUAAAGCGAAGGCGAUCUCCUGGAACAUUACUGACGCUAAGGCGUGAAAGCGUGGGGAGCAAACAGGAUUAGAUACCCUUGUAGUC